CCAGGGGCCGCCAGGCAGCGACAUUCAGAGGCAACAUCAAGGAAAAAAGUCUCUGCCCUCAAGGAGCUCGAGGUCUGAGGAAAAGCUUGACUCAGGCUGAGACUUGAAUGAAGAGAGGGAUUCUACCAGUAGAGGAAAUCAGGGAGCACUCCAGACACACAAGAGACAGCCCGUGCAGAGGCAGAGGUAGGAGCCGCGUGGCUAGAACACAGCCUGUGAAGGGAAGUACCAGAAGGUCUGCUGCCUCGGGGUUGCUGUGAGGAAAACGUUCUGCAGAGAUUACAGCCAAAUGGGGCGCCAGGACCAGUGAUUGAGGACCUGAGCAGUCAGCACCUUGAGGACCCCGACAUCGAAGAGAAGCUACAGCAAUAUAUGACCUCCUCGGGGAAGACCAGGCCUGGGAAUCUUCAACCAUCAAUUCUACUUGGUUGGUGACCCUGCAUAGAUUUUUCCCCCAGUAUCUGACCCCCACAUUUCCCCAAGAGUUGAAUGGAGAUAAUACUGAUACACAGCAUCUUACACGUGCUCAAGUGCUUCUGACUUUUAAAAAUAUUUUCACAUGGAUUAUCUCAUUUGAUUUUCCCUGGGCUCCGUGAAAGAGCUGUUAUCCUCAUUUGGCAGAUAAGUAAACUGAGGCCUAGUUUGGGCACCUAAGUGACUUUCUGGAGGUCAACUCUGAUGGUUGGUCAAAGAGCUGGGUCUAGAAUCCAGUAGAAGUCCUGUGUUCUUUCCAUUAGACCAGGGCUUCUUAAACUUUUUCCACUCACCACCCCUUUUCAUUUAGGGCAGUGCAUGGCCUGAAGGCACGUGCAGUGCAAAGUGUGCAUGCUUUGUGUUCAGAACCAAGGCUGCAGGUGAAGUUGCAAGACGAAACAAGAGCAAACACUGCCAGAAACACCUCGGAUUCAUUACGCGUUUGAUUUUUAAUUAAUUUUUUGUGGUUGCACAUUCAGAAACCUUUUACUAUUGCCAAAUGGGAACCCCACAUGGGGCCGAGACCCACAGUUUAAGAAUCACUGGUCUAGACCACAAUUUCCCCUUCCCAUCUCUCAAGAAAGGGUGGGGAAAAUGAUACAAUUCCCCUGAGUCCCUCUCUACUUGUGAACAUAAAGGCACCCAACCCCCAGAGAUUCUCCCUGCAGCAGGCUCUGCAGACACAAGGCAAUGCAUUAUCACCAGCACACAAAGCAUUUCUUACAGGAAGGAGAUAAAGAUGUAAGCUAUAAGGCUAGUCUCUAACAGCCAGCCAGAAAUAGAAUCGGCCAGAGUUCAAAUGAAGACGCUCGCCCUCCCCAGUGGCUAGGCCUACACGGGAGGCUGUAGUGAGGACUGGCCCUCCAUCCAUAAUCUUGGAUUCCCGAAAAGAGCCGGAGAGAAUCGGGUCCAAAAUACCUCUGGAUGCCUUUCUGUGGUGUGGUCAGCGUGGAGGGAGGGAAGCAGAGAGGCUGGGUGACCCACUGGACAGAAUGCUAGACUUCCAUCAGAAAGAUCGGAGUUUGAAUUCCACCCGUAGGGAGUAAAUAGGUGGGGACUGUUGACUAGUCAUAAUCCCUCUGAGUUUCAUUUUCCACAAAAGAAGACAGAGAACACCACCCACUUCAACCAGUGUGAAGAUCAAAUUAGAUAAGGUUUGUAAAUGUUUAUUAGACAAGUCCCCAGAUCUCUCCAUGCUCCAGGCAAUCUCUUAAAAUUCUAAGAGGUAGUGGGAGUUCCUCAUACCAAAGAAAUCAAUGAGGUAGGCUAAGUG